rnacentral:rRNA from 1 species
AUGAAAAAUAUUGCACAUUUAUUACAAAAAUGUUGCAUAACCUGCCAUUUAUCAUGUGCCUGGUACAUACGACAUGAUACAGUUGAAAUCAAUGGGUCACUACUCCCCUGCCAAUCGAACAUUUUACUUGACUUUGGCAAACUCUUUCUUAUAAACACGGCGCAGCACAUUUGCUUUAACCAUUUUCAUUACGUAUCAAACAAAGGUCCACGCAUGAUAUGCAUAUCAAAAGUAAGAGACAAGAGUUACCUUUUAAAACAUUUGGGAAAUCAACAUGGCAAUUCUGCCAGUGUAAUCAUACUGUGUUACAUGCUACAAAAAUAUUGUGCAGGUAUGAAGAUACUGCACCUAACAUAUUUUCUGUUUGGGGAGAAUCUGCACCUAACGUCAAACACGACUGCGAAAAGAGAUAAUGAAAAUACUGCACCUAACAGUACUAAAAAGAAAACAGAGCAAGCCUACUUAUAG